CUUUCUUCUGUGGAUGACUCAUACUGUAAUGCCCGACACGAUUGUCCAGGAACUGCAAGAUUGAAGGCUGUUGUGGUUCAUUUUUGAUGCUUUUGUUCAUUGGGUAUUCUUGAAAUCUGUAAGAGGUGAAUCGAAUCACAUGCCUGCUAUUAACGACACGAUAAUCCAUCUAUUAAAAGGACAGUGUCAGUGAAGUCAGCUUUCUUCCUCUGUUUGAGUACAUAUCUCACUCUACUGUGGGUAGCUCCGCCCCACCGGCCUGCCACAUCCUCAACACUAAGAUGAACUAAAUUACUGAAUAUAAAUAUAGAUGAAUAAAUAAACUCUCA